UCCCCAGUGCUUAGCACAGUGUCUGGCACAUAGUAGAUGAUUAAUAAAUGUUUAUUAAAUUGAAUUUUGCCAAUUUGCUCUAUCCCUCAAUCCACUCACCAAUUUCCUUUUAACCCUCUAAUUGUUUGACUUGCCAUUUCUUACUUAUCUCCUUUUCUUGCUAUCUUUUAUUUGUCCCUCAGUCUACCUCUUCAGGGUCUACUCUGGAGGCAGUAGUUGGCACAGUAGAUAGAGUGCUGGACUUGCCUUUGUUCCUGUUCACAUGCUGCUGAACAAAACUGGAGAAAAUCACAAACCCAUGUUGACUGGACCUGCUAUCUGUUGGAGUCUACCAGUUUUCUCUCUGCAGGUGGAUAACAUCUUUCAUCAUGGGUCCUUUGGAAUUGUGGCUGUGAUUGAAUAGCAAGGUUUACCAGUAUGACUUCUCCAGGCGAGAAUGGCUGUUUUUCUGUAUCUUCAACUACUGUGUGCACCUAAGCAACAUGGAAGCAUUUAAUUUAUUAAGACUGUUGAACUUUGGGGCCCCAUUUUGAUUAGGUAUUAUUAUCAUUAUUAUUAUUAGGAUUAUUUUCUAUUGCGCAAGGGUUGUAAAGCAGGUGGGCUUGUACAGAUCCUGAAACACACCAGGAGCUUUGACUUUGCUGACAACAACAAUGUUUAUGACAUGUUUAGGAGCACGCAUGCACGGCAUGGGCAUAUCAAUGUGUGUGUGUGUGUAAAAUUUGGGGCAAAGAGAAUAGAGGAGAUGUGGUGGUGGUCCAUGUUUUGCCUGAAGCAACCAACUUUCCCAAAGCAAAAGGAUCAUUUGGGACUUGUUGAGUAAAUUCCCAACAAUGAGAAUUGCCAAGAA